GAUGAACGCUGGCGGCGUGCUUAACACAUGCAAGUCGAACGGAAAGGCCCAAGCUUGCUUGGGUACUCGAGUGGCGAACGGGUGAGUAACACGUGGGUGAUCUGCCCUGCACUUCGGGAUAAGCCUGGGAAACUGGGUCUAAUACCGGAUAGGACGAUGGUUUGGAUGCCAUUGUGGAAAGUUUUUUCGGUGUGGGAUGAGCUCGCGGCCUAUCAGCUUGUUGGUGGGGUAAUGGCCUACCAAGGCGUCGACGGGUAGCCGGCCUGAGAGGGUGUGCGGCCACAUUGGGACUGAGAUACGGCCCAGACUCCGACGGGAGGCAGCAGUGGGGAAUAUUGCACAAUGGGCGCAAGCCUGAUGCAGCGAGGCCGCGUGGGGGAUGACGGCCUUCGGGUUGUAAACUCCUUUCGCUAGGGACGAAGCGUUUUUGUGACGGUACCUGGAGAAGAAGCACCGGCUAACUACGUG
rnacentral:rRNA from 1 species